rnacentral:rRNA from 1 species
UACAGAGGUCUCAAGCGUUGUUCGGAUUCAUUGGGCGUAAAGGGUGCGUAGGUGGCGAGGCAAGUCUGGUGUGAAAUCCCGGGGCUCAACCCCCGGAACUGCACUGGAUACUGCCUUGCUUGAGCACUGGAGAGGGAACUGGAAUUUACGGUGUAGCAGUGAAAUGCGUAGAUAUCGUAAGGAAGACCAGUGGCGAAGGCG